rnacentral:tRNA from 1 species
CCCCUGGUGGUCCAGUGGUUAAGAAUCUGCACUUCUGCUGCAGUGGACACGGGUUUGAUCCCUGAUUGGGGAA